GGGCGGGGCUUUCUGCUGUGGGGCUGGGGGGCGAGGUCUUCAGUGAGCGGGGAGGGAGGAUGCGGUCUUGGGCUGAUAAAUUUGUUGAUUAGGUUGGGAAUGAAUGAGUUUGUAGAUUUGAGUGCAUGAUUGGUAUUGAUGAGCGAAUGUGGUUUGACUCUAGGCGUGGUUGUGUCUGUGUGUGCACUGAAACCUAUCGACCUGUUAAUCUCUGAAAGCUCGGUGCAUAAAUGUGUUCAAGUGCUGGGUUGUACCUGCUUUUUCACAGCUAGAUACCUGUACAAUACCUCAGAUACAACUGUAUCAUUCCAGACUUUAGAGUGAAGAUUGUGGGUUCUGCACCACAUGUAGAUGUAUGGUAGUUACUUCUCUAUGGCCUGGAAUUGGUAAAUGUAGGACCAAGCUGGCAAGCUCAUACACUGCAAAGGGCUGUUAUGGUCAUCAUGGUAAUACCUCCCUCCAUCAGAGAAAAGAUCUGAUGAAUGGAAAUGGAUUCUACAGCCAUGUAUCUACUUCCUGUUCUGGGUGAAAUUCCCAAAAUUUGAGUAUGGAUGGUAUAUUUUUAUACUUCAUAGAUCAUUUUCUGAUUAUUGGGUACUUAAAGGGGAUCCACCAGUAGGUGGCGAUACGCAGUAUAUGAGCAAAAAUCUAAAUUACCUGUAUGGAGAGUAUGGCCUAAUUCAAGCAAUGAAAGAACAGUGUUGUGUAUGCUUGCCACAGAGGUGACUAAUAAAAAAAAAUGAAACUACAAAAGUAAACGAGCAGCAGAAUGGAAGCUUCAAAUAAACUGCUCUGAGCAGCUGCAAGCAUAUCAUCCUCUUUCAGUUAGAGUGAAUGUGCUAUUUAUAUAGGCUACCACCCAGCAUAUUUGAAAGUCCUUGUGUUGUGUAUAUCUUCCUAUGGUAUGCACAAAAAAAAAAAUCAAUUACUGACCUUUUAUAACUGACAGUCAAUUUU